rnacentral:rRNA from 1 species
AUUGAACGCUGGCGGCAGGCUUAACACAUGCAAGUCGAGCGAGCGGCGGACGGGUGAGUAAUGUCUGGGAAACUGCCUGAUGGAGGGGGAUAACUACUGGAAACGGUAGAUAAUACCGCAUACCAUCAGAUGUGCCCAGAUGGGCUUAGCUAGUAGUUGGGGUAAUGGCUCACCUAGGCGACGAUCCCUAGCUGGUCUGAGAGGAUGACCAGCCGCACUGUAAGUGAGACACGAUCGAGAGGCCGACGGGAGACAGCAGUGGGGAGUAGUGCACAAUGGGCGCAAGCCUGAGACAGCCAUGCCGGGUGUGUGAAGAAGGCAUUCGGGUUGUAAAGCACUUUCAGCGAGGAGGCGUUACUCGCAGAAGAAGCACCGGCUAACUCCGUGCCAGCAGCCGCGGUAAUAC